GCUAGGCACAGUAGUGUGUGCCUGUAUUCCCAGCUACUCCAGAGGCUGAGGUGGGAGGAUCCUUUGAGCUCAGGAGUUCCAGGCUGUAAUGUGCUACGUUCCUGCCUGUGAACAGCCACUACACUCUAGCCUGGGCAACAUAGUGGAACCCCAUCUCUA
ensembl:misc_RNA Metazoa_SRP Metazoan signal recognition particle RNA